rnacentral:misc_RNA from 1 species
UCAAACUUGGUCAUUUAGAGGAAGUAAAAGUCGUAACAAGGUUUCCGUAGGUGAACCUGCGGAAGGAUCAUUAUCGAGUCUUCUCGUUUUGGCUGUGCAUUAACUUGAACGCCGAACGUUUGACUUACACACACCCUGUGCACCUUUGACUUGUCUGAAUCCACUCGCUUCGUGCGGGGUCUGCUCACUUGUGAGUGGGAUUUUUUGAGUGUUGCGGUUAUAGCUCGCUCUGGGAUGAAUGACUUGUCUUUUUUUUACACCUUUUUGUAUGUCUCUUGAAAAUUAUCGGUUGCUCUGUAAUGGGGUGAUCGUUUAAAUUAAAUACAACUUUCAGCAACGGAUCUCUUGGCUCUCCCAUCGAUGAAGAACGCAGC